rnacentral:rRNA from 1 species
UUUUUAUGAGAGUUUGAUCCUGGCUCAGGACGAACGCUGGCGGCGUGCCUAAUACAUGCAAGUCGAACGCUUCUUUUUCCACCGGAGCUUGCUCCACCGGAAAAAGAGGAGUGGCGAACGGGUGAGUAACACGUGGGUAACCUGCCCAUCAGAAGGGGAUAACACUUGGAAACAGGUGCUAAUACCGUAUAACAAUCAAAACCGCAUGGUUUUGAUUUGAAAGGCGCUUUCGGGUGUCGCUGAUGGAUGGACCCGCGGUGCAUUAGCUAGUUGGUGAGGUAACGGCUCACCAAGGCCACGAUGCAUAGCCGACCUGAGAGGGUGAUCGGCCACAUUGGGACUGAGACACGGCCCAAACUCCUACGGGAGGCAGCAGUAGGGAAUCUUCGGCAAUGGACGAAAGUCUGACCGAGCAACGCCGCGUGAGUGAAGAAGGUUUUCGGAUCGUAAAACUCUGUUGUUAGAGAAGAACAAGGAUGAGAGUAACUGUUCAUCCCUUGACGGUAUCUAACCAGAAAGCCACGGCUAACUACGUGCCAGCAGCCGCGGUAAUACGUAGGUGGCAAGCGUUGUCCGGAUUUAUUGGGCGUAAAGCGAGCGCAGGCGGUUUCUUAAGUCUGAUGUGAAAGCCCCCGGCUCAACCGGGGAGGGUCAUUGGAAACUGGGAGACUUGAGUGCAGAAGAGGAGAGUGGAAUUCCAUGUGUAGCGGUGAAAUGCGUAGAUAUAUGGAGGAACACCAGUGGCGAAGGCGGCUCUCUGGUCUGUAACUGACGCUGAGGCUCGAAAGCGUGGGGAGCAAACAGGAUUAGAUACCCUGGUAGUCCACGCCGUAAACGAUGAGUGCUAAGUGUUGGAGGGUUUCCGCCCUUCAGUGCUGCAGCUAACGCAUUAAGCACUCCGCCUGGGGAGUACGACCGCAAGGUUGAAACUCAAAGGAAUUGACGGGGGCCCGCACAAGCGGUGGAGCAUGUGGUUUAAUUCGAAGCAACGCGAAGAACCUUACCAGGUCUUGACAUCCUUUGACCACUCUAGAGAUAGAGCUUCCCCUUCGGGGG